GGAAUAUAAGAACCCGUCUCUUCACUUUUAACUAAAAAAAUUAAGAACCGGAUUCUUAGUUUUUUUAGUUAAAAGUUAAGAGACAAGUUAUUAUAUUUC
rnacentral:pre_miRNA from 1 species